GAUUGGAUGGUGUUGUACCGUUUUCCGUUACUUUUCUGAAAUUGGUGUGUAAAAAAUGGUUGGUUAGCGAGUGAGUUUAGUCAUUAAACAGCUUUCGCACCGUCCAAUAAUGAUUCACAUGACAACGCGUCUUUACAUAACCGAGGGACACGCGUCGUCUCUUUAUUGGUUACUAGGUGUCUCGUUUCCUGAGUAGGGGGGAUUAUUAUAAUUACUCAGUGCACGCCAGAAUCCCCCUCCCCCCUCCUCCCUUUUCUUUAUAUUUAAUUUUUAAUUUGUGUGGAUUGGAGAUAGUGGAGUUGCUUGGUUUUGAAGUUUGUUUUUUUUUUUAAUUGUUUAAGUGCAUCAAGAUUAUGUAUGCACGUGACCAUGUUUUGUAAUUUCCCUAAUGCCCAAUUGAGAAUUACAAUGAAAAUAAAAUUAUAUUUAUGAAAGACAUACAAUAUAAAAUAAUUAAAUAACAAAAAAUAAAACCCAUUAGGAUAAAACCAAAAAAUAAAAAAUAAAAAAAGCGAAAGAAAAUAAUAUUAAAAAAGAAAAAUUCAAGAUUAAUGCUAUAUAUGUGUGUGUGUAUCAUUAUUAUAUUUUAUAUAAAUAAUAAGGGUGACAAUUAAAUGGGAGCAAAAAGCCGGCAGGGUCGGACAUUAUUCCAUGUGUACUGCUCGAAUUUAUCGGCUAAGCCUAAAUUAUUAACAAUCAUAAUUAUUAAGAAAUUA
rnacentral:lncRNA from 1 species